rnacentral:rRNA from 1 species
UACAGGGGGGGCAAGCGUUGUUCGGAAUUACUGGGCGUAAAGGGUUCGUAGGUGGCCUUCUAAGUCGAACGUGAAAUCCCCGGGCUCAACCCGGGAACUGCGUCCGAUACUGGAAGGCUUGAAUCCGGGAGAGGGAUGCGGAAUUCCAGGUGUAGCGGUGAAAUGCGUAGAUAUCUGGAGGAACACCGGUGGCGAAGGCGGCAUCCUGGACCGGCAUUGACGCUGAGGCGCGAAAGCCAGGGGAGCAAACGGG